rnacentral:rRNA from 1 species
GACGAACGCUGGCGGCGCGCUUAACACAUGCAAGUCGAACGGAAAGGCCUGCUUUCCCUUGUGGAUUGCGGGUACUCGAGUGGCGAACGGGUGAGUAACACGUGAGUGAUCUGCCCCCAACUUGGGUAUAAGCCUGGGAAACUGGGUCUAAUUCCCGAUAGGACUGCAGGGUGGUGCCUGUGGUGGAAAACGAUUUUCUAGUGGUUGGGGAUGAGCUCGCGGCCUAUCAGCUUGUUGGUGGGGUAAUGGCCUACCAAGGCGGCGACGGGUAGCCGGCCUGAGAGGGUGGACGGCCACAUUGGGACUGAGAUACGGCCCAGACUCCUACGGGAGGCAGCAGUGGGGAAUAUUACACAAUGGGCAGAAGCCUGAUGCAGCGACGCCGCGUGGGGGAUGACGGCCUUCGGGUUGUAAACUCCUUUCGACCGCGAGGAAGCCACCUGGUUGGAAGGGUGGUGACGGUAGUGGUAGAAGAAGCACCGGCUAACUACGUG